UUAACUCAGAUUUGUAUGGAGUUGGAACGUUUGCCUACGUUUGCCGCUAGGGGCGCUUUUUCGACUACAUACCGAUUUAAGUUA
rnacentral:pre_miRNA from 1 species